rnacentral:rRNA from 1 species
UACGUAGGGGGGCAAGCGUUGUCCGGAAUCAUUGGGCGUAAAGCGCGCGUAGGUGGCCUCAUAAGUCCGCUGUGAAAGUCAAAGGCUCAACCUUUGAAAGCCGGUGGAUACUGUGAGGCUAGAGUACGGAAGAGGCGAGUGGAAUUCCUGGUGUAGCGGUGGAAUGCGCAGAUAUCAGGAGGAACACCAAUAGCGAAGGCAGCUCGCUGGGACGUGACUGACGCUGAGACGCGAAAGCGUGGGGAGCAAACAGG